UCCGGUCCGUGAGACACGACAUCCCACUAGUCUGUUGUGAUGAAUAAUUCACCUUUCAUUAUUGGUUUGGUAUACCAGACCUAUCCAGUACGGAAAUUUUAUUUCGUGCAUUACACACACACGUAUAAAUGAGUUAAUUGUGUCGGUGCACACAAUGUAGGAAAAUACAAAAAUGAGAGUGUGUUAUGCUCGCAUUAUGUGAGUGAAGAGAAGUUACGGUACAGUCCAAAAAAUUAAGGGCUUGUUUGGUAGUUAUUUUUAUCCUAUAUUUUUUGCUUUUGGUCAGUUAUUUUUAGAAGCAUCAAAAUGAUGCUUCUUGUUGCUUAUAGUGGUAAAAUGCUUCCUGCACUGUAGCCCAUUAGUGGAAUCAUUGGGUCCAAAAUACUUGAAGCAAUAUUUCCAAUAUCCAGCCACAAAUGUGAAAGCAAACGAGAGAAAACCCUAGGGCAAUUAGGAGGCGAUUCUACUGUGCACCGAGCUUCAACCAUCCCGUUGCUACAAACGAUGUUCUUGCAGGCUCCGAUCGGUAAACUAACUCCAUUCUGUUCUUGUUCGUCUUCUUCUUCGUCUUGAUGGUAAUUUUUUCCUUUUUCAUCUUGAUUUUUUUGCUUGGAUCUGAAACCCUAGUGGUAAGGGUUUCAGUUUUGUUACUUAAAUGAGUUUUUUGUCAUGUUGUGUAACAUUUUGGGUCGACUUUGUGCUUAGAUCUGUUAACCAUACUUCGAAAAUUGAAGUUUUAUCACUUCGAUUCAAAUUUUACUAUCUUGUGUUUUAUUUUUGGUUGAAUUUGAGCUUAGAUUUGAAAACCGUAUUUCGGAAAUUCAAGUCUUGUCACUUUGAUUCAGAUUUUAUUAUCUUCUGUCUUAUUUUGGGUUGAAUUUGUGCUUAGAUCUGAAAAUCAAACUUCGGUAUUUCAAGUUUUCUUUACUUCGUUUCAUAUUUUAUUAUGUUGUGUAUAAUUUUGGGUUUAUUUUUGUCUUGGAUUUGGAAACCCUUCUUCUGAAAAAAAAAAAUUCUGGUACUUUGAUUCUUUUAUGUUGUGUAUAACUUUGGGUCUAUUUUGUGUCUUCGAUUUGGAUACCCUACUUCUGAAAUGAUAAAAUUUUAACUGUUUUAACAUUAUUGUCACUUCAAUUAAAUUUUUUGUGUUUGUGUUGGGUUGUUCGUUUAUAGAAUAUGAGUGUUGCAGUGGCAUGACGUUGAUACUGACCUUUAAUUCGUCCUAAAAGUAAGAAUUUCAACCCUACUUUUGAAUUUACAGAUUUGUGUUGGAUAAAUUUUUGUUUUAUACUGUGAAUAAAUUUGGGUUUUUUUUUUUUUUGUCUUCCAUUUUUCUGAAUAUACAGAUUGGUUACUUCGAUUCAUUUUUUAUAUGUUGUAUCUAAUGAUCUUGUUUGUGUUGAAAUUACAGAUUGGUUAGUUCGAUUCAACUUGUAAAUUUUUUUGAUGUAAAAAUCUUUUGUCAUUGGUUACUGAAACUCAAUUUUUGUGUACAACAAAAUGCAAACUGGAAUUGAAACCAAAUUGAACUAUUUGUUAAAACUGUUUAUCAUGCUACCUAUAUGCAAACUGACUUCCAACUUGUAACUGUUUUUUAUUUAAAAAUAUUUUUUGAUUGGUUCUAAAUAAGUGUUAUAAUAUAUAUUCUUAUACUUUUAUUUGUACUGAACUUGAUUUAUUGUGUAUAACUAUAUGAAAACUGAAUUGAAACUAAUUGAUUAAAUUGUAAAACCGUGUAUCAUGCUACGUAUAUGCAAAGUGACUUUUAGCUUAUAACUUUCUUUCAGUUAAAAAUAUAUUGUCAUUGGUUACUGGAUCUCAUUUUUUUUUUUUUUUUUUCAAACUAUAUGCAAACUUAAUUGAAACCCAAUUGAUCUAGUUGUUUAAAAACUUUUAUAAUUGGUUCUCAGUAAUAGUUCUGAUUAUACUUUUAUAACCAUUAUGUUUGUUAGAUGGAUCUUAAUCCCAAUAAUCUAUAUGAAUAUGCCAAUGAAAUGAGCUUGGGUGAUGAGGUGCAAGUAGAUAUGGACACGAUGGAUGAUGGGAAAAAUAUUUGGGAUGACUAUGUGGAAGAGAAAUUUAUUUUACUGAUGGGGGAAGAGGUUAGGCAAGGAAAUCGUACAAAUGCAACUUUUAACAAUGUUGGGUGGAAAAAGCUAAUCGAAGGAAUGAUAGUUGAAACAGGCAAAACAUACACCAUUAAACAACUCAGAAAUAAAUUCAACCAAUUGAGGGCAAUACACAAGGAUUUUAAAAAGUUGUUGUUUGAGACGGGUGUGGGCUAUAAUGCUGAGAGUGGAAUAAUUGUAAUGGAAGAAGAGAGAUGGGUAAGGUUGUCAAAGGUUAGUGAUAAAUAAUGCAAUCUGUUGUAGUAUUUAUUUUUACUGUUUUUGGGAUAGACAUGUUUUUAUAAUAAGUUUAUUAUAACAUGUAGGUUGUUAAAUAUGGGAAAAAAAAAAUCGCAAGAAGGGUUGUAAGCACUUUGACAAGUUGUCUGCCAUCUUUGUAGACACACAUGCAACAGGAUCUCAAGUCCGUCCUACUAGAUCUCACCCAACAUCGCAUGUACCCACAAAUAUGGCUCAAAUUAAUUCUCUUGAUGAUGAUACUAUCAAUAAGGAAGGAAAUGAUCUCCAAGGUAAAGAGAGGACUCCAUCACUUGAACCCCGACCUAGGAAAGCUAGGAAAGAUAGUUUUGCAUCCACAAUGUCUGCAGUCAUGGCAACCAUGAUUGAGAAUUCAAAGAGGAAAGCUGAGGCAAUAGAGAAAGCCAUAGCUGCUACCUCUUCCAAUCGUGUAGCAUCCCAUGAAACAGGUGAUUGUAACUCUCCCACCCUAAGGGACAAGGAAAUGGAAGAGGUGCAAGGUUACAUUAGGGUUAUGAGUAACUUGGAAGGACUUGAUACUGCCCAUUACAAUAAGGCUCUCAGGGACAAGGAAAGGGAAGAAGUGCAAGGUUGAUCAUGAAUCUAACUAUAUAUACGAAUAGAUUUUUAAUUUGUUAUGUAUGGAUGAUGAGAUUCCAUUGAUACAUAAUCAAUUCUAAUACAAAAAGAGAGCCUCCAUACUAAAAGUAAAGCCACUUUCUUUGAUCUUCUUUUCUUUUCUUUUCUUUUCUUUUUUUUUUUUUUUUGUAUUUUACCUUUUUAUUUUUAUUUUUUAUGAGCAAGAUUGUUUCUGUUGUUUUGACUAAAGAAAGAAAAUUUUAAUUUAAUUUUCUUAAGAUAAUGUAUCUACACCUACUUCUAUCCUGUGCAGUGAUUUGAUCAUCUUCCAAUUUCAUAUUAGUUUUCCCCUCAGCUUCAGUCAGACAAAAGUAUUGCUCUUCAUUGACUUCUCCGACAUUUUUUUGCUGACGGGUGACUUCUGCAAUAUUGUCAUCAUAACUAUAUUCAAUAUUGCCCCAUUAAGCUUAAGGUCUAAUGGAUAUUCAAUUAUUGGUCGAUCCUUGUACAUCAGUUAGUACUUUCUGUUGGUUGAUCAUAUUCAUAAAAUUCUUAAAUUUUAUUAUUUUAAUAGUUCAAUGUCAUCUUUCUUUUCUAGUUCAGUUUAUUGAGGUCUUCUAAUCACUCUUGUUAUUUGAAUCCAAAGACCAUAAGCCAAAAGUAUUCUCUUUCAUGGCUUGGAAGUGUAUUGACCCCGUAUAUGAAAUUCUCACAUUGCCGUAUACAGCAACUACAUUACCCAGAAUUUUAAAGUCAAACUCUUUUAAUCCAGGACUGCAGUAAUGCAGAAUUCACCAUUAUAAUCCACUAGUAAACCAGCCAGCAUAUGAGAAGUUUCCUCAUCAAUGAAUAUGCAUAUCCUGUCUUUCAAAAAAAGCACAUUCCUACAUAUUCUGAUAUGCACAGACAAGAACUCUGCAUUGGGAUGCAAAUAUCGAUGGCAGACUGUUGUUGGUAAUGGAUUCAACUGCUAUCCAACAGCUAGAGAAACGCUGUAUGGAAAUGGAUAUUCAACUGCUAGCAUGGUGAAUGACGUGUUGUAUUUCCAUGAUUAGUAAUCCAACAAUAUUUGUUGUAUAUUAGCAUAGGAACCUCUAAAGUUAUACAAUGGAAUACUGGGUAUAAUUAUUGUAUGUAAUAUGAAAGUUUGAUCAUAUGAUAUGCAUCGAUAAUGUUGCUGCUUGAGCUUGAGUGUUCAUUUUGUUGGGAUCCAAGUGCAAACUUGAUAAUUUGCAUUGCUAUGUAUCUGAAUAUUUAUAGGUUUUGCACUACAAUUUAGUAGCACGUCCGUUUUUUUUUUGGUAAAUAGUUGCAGGUAUGUUAAUUAUAUAUGUAAGGUACAUAUUGGGACAUCAUGGUUUAAAUCAAAAUUCUAUUUGAAAAUUUUGUUCCAAAAGUUUCCGGUGGAAGGAUUAUCUAAUUGAAUGAAUGGUUUGUAUUU